ensembl:lncRNA
UUCUUGUCGUUACUGAUCACUUUACACGGUACGCGCAGGCUUUUCCGUCCAGGAAUCAAACCGCCCUUACUGUUGCCAAAAUUCUGGUGGACAAAUAUUUUGUGCACUAUGGGUUGCCGGCCAGGAUUCAUUCAGAUCAGGGGCGGGAUUUUGAAAGUAGACUAAUUAAGGAGCUUUUGAAUAUUCUGGGGGUGAGAAAAUCCCGAACAACACCAUAUCAUCCACAAGGGGACCCACAACCCGAGAGAUUCAAUCGCACACUACUCUCUAUGUUGGGCACAAUGGGGAAUGAGAAAAAAAGACAAUGGAGCCAAUAUGUAUCACACUUAGUACAUGCUUACAAUAGCACUAAGUGUGAUGCUACUGGGUUCUCUCCCUAUUAUUUAAUGUUUGGGAGGGAGGCUAGGCUCCCCGUUGAUUUGUGUUUUCCUUGUUCCUCGGAUGGAAAGGGGGUCAAGGAACAUUGUAAAUAUGUGGCAAAGUUAAAGCAUGACCUGCAAGAAGCCUAUCGGCUUGCUUCUAACGCAGCUGAUAAAGUGCACCAACGGAAUAAGCGAGCUUAUGAUAGCAAAGUUAAAUUACAGCUUUUAGACAUCGGUGAUAGAGUGUUGCUCCGAAAUCUCGGGUUAAAGGGAAAGCACAAGCUUCAGGGCCGUUGGGGUUCAGUACCACACAUGGUGAUAGGGAAGAUGCCUCACUUGCCGGUAUAUAAAGUGAGACCUGAACUGGGUUGGAGUGGCAGAGUGAGGACUCUUCAUCGCGACCACCUCUUGCCUAUUGGACAAUGGGUGAGGAUGUUGGAUAGUACUGUGAGUGCUGAGACAACAAAAAGUGGAAACACAAGAUUAAGGUCAGGAAAGGGACACUCAAUAGUGCACAGGCAGAAGGAACCUGUAGACUUAACAGAGUCAUCCUCUGAGUCAGAAGGCGAAAGACCUAAUUGUAUGUACAGACAUUACAUGGACAAGCUAUUGGAGAAUAGUGUGUCACAUGAAAAUCCUCCUACCUCAAGUCCAGAUGAAAGGGACUUUCAAAGUGUUGAGGAAGAGGAUGUAAGUGCAGGAGAAAGCCUGAUUCUUUCUGAUGGUCCUGUAGAAGAACAAGGGGAUAAUGACUCUGAAGACGGGUCAAAAAAUGGCAAUGAGAUUGGGUUGGAGAGUAUUCCUGGUAAAAGACAGGAGCUACUACAGCCACAAACUGUAAGUCCCCUUCAAAGAUCUGGUAGUAAAAGGAAGGUAAAACCUGUGAUCAGGCUAACUUAUGAUGAACCAGGCAAAGCUAAAGAUCACCCAAUUACUAUAGUGCAUAGGGGAAUUGUAAUUAAAGUUGGGUAGAUUGAUGUUUCAAAGGAAAGGGUGAAUUACAUCCUCCCAGGGGUUUUCAUGUGUACAAUGUUAGGGGUGUUAAAUGUCUGAUGAGGACAUCAAGACAAUUAAAAAGGGGGAGGGUGUAACCAGGGGUAAAAAUAUAU